rnacentral:rRNA from 1 species
AUUGAACGCUGGCGGCAGGCCUAACACAUGCAAGUCGAGCGGAUGAAGGGAGCUUGCUCCUGGAUUCAGCGGCGGACGGGUGAGUAAUGCCUAGGAAUCUGCCUGGUAGUGGGGGAUAACGUCCGGAAACGGGCGCUAAUACCGCAUACGUCCUGAGGGAGAAAGUGGGGGAUCUUCGGACCUCACGCUAUCCGAUGAGCCUAGGUCGGAUAGCUAGUUGGUGGGGUAAAGGCCUACCAAGGCGACGAUCCGUAACUGGUCUGAGAGGAUGAUCAGUCACACUGGAACUGAGACACGGUCCAGACUCCUACGGGAGGCAGCAGUGGGGAAUAUUGGACAAUGGGCGAAAGCCUGAUCCAGCCAUGCCGCGUGUGUGAAGAAGGUCUUCGGAUUGUAAAGCACUUUAAGUUGGGAGGAAGGGCAGUAAGUUAAUACCUUGCUGUUUUGACGUUACCAACAGAAUAAGCACCGGCUAACUUCGUG